rnacentral:rRNA from 1 species
UACGUAGGGUGCGAGCGUUAAUCGGAAUUACUGGGCGUAAAGCGUGCGCAGGCGGCGCGUUAAGACAGGUGUGAAAGCCCCGAGCUUAACUUGGGAAUUGCGCUUGUGACUGGCGUGCUGGAGUGUGGCAGAGGGAGGUGGAAUUCCACGUGUAGCAGUGAAAUGCGUAGAGAUCUGGAGGAACACCGAUGGCGAAGGCAGCCCCCUGGGCUAACACUGACGCUCAUGCACGAAAGCGUGGGGAGCAAACAGG